CUGUUUAUUAUGCAAGCAAAGCACCAUACCCGCUAGCUUAGCUAAUAUAUAAUAUAUUAUUUUUAUGAUAAAAGAUGCCAUCAUGCCAUGUUUUACUGAUGGCUUUAGCUUUGCAUGAAAUGAUGCAUUUAUUGGUCAAAAUUGGGAUGACGACCUUUUACAACUUCCAAACUAAAUCAUGCAUUUUCUUGUUUCUAUUUUGCAAUCGAAUUUGAAUUACCCUCUCCGUAGUUUAAAAAAAUAUUAGAGGCCAAUUUUAAGUCCUUAGAAUAGUAUGGAAAAGAUAUGGAAGAUGCUGAUUUUCUGACACAAGUUUCUCAAUUUAGUAUUCUUGAGCUAACAACAACUAUGCCACUGCCAAACAGUAUGUGUGCUUGUUUUUUCUUUUAACAGGGUGCUGAUGCUGAAUCAAUCAAAAUAUGAGGAGGAGGAGGAGGAGGAGGAGACACCUAUUUCUCUACAGAAAGGAAUAGAAAAGGCUAAAAAAACUCCACUUUGGGGGAGAUACUAGAUAGAUCAAUUUCCACAGUGCUUUCUUUUUUACGAAAGUGGUGCACCAUGCCACCAUCCAUAGAUAGUC
rnacentral:lncRNA from 1 species